UACGUAGGGUGCGAGCGUUUAAUCGGAAUUACUGGGCGUAAAGCGUGCGCAGGCGGUUUUGUAAGUCAGAUGUGAAAUCCCCGGGCUCAACCUGGGAACAUGCGUUUGAAACUUACAAGGCUAGAGUGUAGCAGAGGGGGUAGAAUUCCACGGUGUAGCAGUGAAAUGCGUAGAGAUGAUGGAGGAAUACCAAUGGCGAAGGCAGGCCC
rnacentral:rRNA from 1 species